GCUGCCCCUAGUGACUUUGCAGGCGUGGCUGCUAUGUCACGUUUACGUCAGUAAGUGGCAGAGAGGAGAGAGGUGGUCUGGACUCAGUGUUCUAACUAUGAAUAUCUGAAUGGUUAGUAGCCUGACACU